GAAAAGACGAUUGAAAGGGACCGGCAUGACUCAAAACAGGCUAUAAAGCGACCCGGGGAAGGUGAAAGCCCGGGAUGGCCGGAAUCAUGCAGAUCAGCCCUUUAGUUUCCUUUCUGAACCGAGAGUAGGAAAGGACGUUCCAUCACGUUACGAUGUUCGAGAGGAAAAGACGGAUGAUCCGUUUUUUCUAAAAGGGUGGUACCGCGAGAUAAGCUUUCUCGUCCCUUAU
rfam:Bacillus amyloliquefaciens FZB42, complete genome.